UACGAAGGGGGCUAGCGUUGCUCGGACUGACUGGGCGUAAAGGGCGCGUAGGCGGUUCGUACAGUCAGACGUGAAAUUCCUGGGCUCAACCUGGGGGCUGCGUUUGAUACGUGCGGACUUGAGUGCGGAAGAGGGUCGUGGAAUUCCCAGUGUAGAGGUGAAAUUCGUAGAUAUUGGGAAGAACACCGGUGGCGAAGGCGGCGACCUGGUCCGAUACUGACGCUGAGGCGCGAAAGCGUGGGGAGCAAACAGG
rnacentral:rRNA from 1 species